GGCAUGAUUUCAUAUCGUAACAGAAGGAACUAGAAUCUUGAUAAUUACGGGGGGAAGAGGUCGAGAUUCUUGAAUCAUUAAGUGCAAACCAAUAAUAUAUAUCAAUUUCUGAUGGUGUGAACGCGAUUACGCGAGUGUUCAGAUGGAGGAAGAGGAUUUUGGCUCUUCAAAAUAAGAAUAGACUCUGGGGGCAGGAAGCAUAACCGUGCACUGCAGAUCAUGUUUUGGAAUCUGAACGAAAGAAAGAGUUAGAAAUAACUGGAGAAGGUGAAGAUUUGAUUUCAGAGGAUUGUGCAAAGGGCUUGAAGAAGUACAAGUACUUCUGCUCGUUUUAAAUAUAUAGGUAUAGGUAUAGAACUUUGGUCUAUAUUUCUUACUUUGAUCCGCUGUUUGUACAAUCGAUCUUGGUGUGCAUUUGUUCAAAGACAAAUCCUCAUUUGUUAUUUGGUUCUCACAUUUUAAGCUUUCCAACGAUAAUAUUUUCUAUUGGU